rnacentral:SRP_RNA from 1 species
CCAUGCUAGGCGGGGAGCUGGCGGUUCCCUACACCCGAAAUCCGCCAUAUGCGGGGCCGAAUGCCCCCUGAGGCUACCGCAGUCGGAACGCGGUACGCUGGAGGAUGUUGAGGGUUGGGUCCCACGCAACGGGAACCUGUGAACCUGGUCAGGUCCGGAAGGAAGCAGCCAUAAGCAGGCUUACCGGGUGCCGUGGGGGUGCUCAGCCUGAGUCUAAAGGCAUAACCGGUCCGGUUGCGGCUAGUCGAAGGGGGAUGCAUGG